CCCUUAGAUGUUCUGGGCCGCACGCGCGCUACACUGACGAUGGCAACGAGUUUUUCCUUCGCCGAAAGGUGUGGGUAAUCUUUUGAAACAUCGUCGUGCUGGGGAUAGAUCAUUGCAAUUUUUGAUCUUGAACGAGGAAUUCCUAGUAAGCGCGAGUCAUCAGCUCGCGUUGAUUACGUCCCUGCCCUUUGUACACACCGCCCGUCGCUACUACCGAUUGAAUGGUUUAGUGAGGACUCCUGAUUGGGGCCGCCGCCCCGGCAACGGAGCAGCGGACUGCCGAAAAGUUGUUCAAACUUGAUCAUUUAGAGGAAGUAAAAGUCGUAACA
rnacentral:rRNA from 1 species